rnacentral:rRNA from 1 species
CCUGGUGGCGAGUGGCGAACGGGUGAGUAAUACAUCGGAACGUGCCCAGUAGUGGGGGACAACCAAGCGAAAGUUUGGCUAAUACCGCAUACGACCUACGGGUGAAAGGGGGGGAUCGCAAGACCUCUCGCUAUUGGAGCGGCCGAUGUCCGAUUAGCUAGUUGGUGGGGUAAAGGCCUACCAAGGCAACGAUCGGUAGCUGGUCUGAGAGGACGAUCAGCCACACUGGGACUGAGACACGGCCCAGACUCCUACGGGAGGCAGCAGUGGGGAAUUUUGGACAAUGGGGGAAACCCUGAUCCAGCAAUGCCGCGUGUGUGAAGAAGGCCUUCGGGUUGUAAAGCACUUUUAUUCGGAGAGAAAUCCCUUGGGCUAAUACCCCGAGGGUCUGACGGUACCGGAUGAAUAAGCGCCGGCUAACUACGUGCCAGCAGCCGCGGUAAUACGUAGGGCGCGAGCGUUAAUCGGAAUUACUGGCCGUAAAGCGUGCGCAGGCGG